rnacentral:rRNA from 1 species
GGGUGAGUAACGCGUGGGUAACCUGCCUCACACAGGGGGAUAACAGUUGGAAACGACCGCUAAUACCGCAUAAGCCGGAAGGAUCGCAUGAUUCGGCCGGAAAAGAUUUAUCGGUGUGAGAUGGACCCGCGUCUGAUUAGCCAGUUGGCAGGGUAACGGCCUACCAAAGCGACGAUCAGUAGCCGGCCUGAGAGGGUGAACGGCCACAUUGGGACUGAGACACGGCCCAAACUCCUACGGGAGGCAGCAGUGGGGAAUAUUGCACAAUGGGGGAAACCCUGAUGCAGCGACGCCGCGUGAGUGAAGAAGUAUUUCGGUAUGUAAAGCUCUAUCAGCAGGGAAGAAAAUGACGGUACCUGACUAAGAAGCCCCGGCUAACUACGUGCCAGCAGCCGCGGUAAUACGUAGGGGGCAAGCGUUAUCCGGAUUUACUGGGUGUAAAGGGAGCGUAGACGGCCAGACAAGUCAGAAGUGAAAGCCCAGGGCUCAACUCUGGGACUGCUUUUGAAACUGCCGGGCUGGAGUGCAGGAGAGGUAAGCGGAAUUCCUAGUGUAGCGGUGAAAUGCGUAGAUAUCAGGAGGAACACCAGUGGCGAAGGCGGCUUACUGGACUGUAACUGACGUUGAGGCUCGAAAGCGUGGGGAGCAAACAGGAUUAGAUACCCUGGUAGUCCACGCCGUAA